UAUAUUUUUAGAGAAAAAAUAAUAUAUGAUUUCUUCGAAAUCAUCAUAGGUAAAUGAAUACGAAUGAUGCAUAAUUAUUUUCGUAUCUCAAGAAUAGUUGUCGAUCUACCUUAUAGCUUGAUAGGUAAAUAUUUAUAUUUUUAUGAUUUGCGUUUAAUUCAAAUAUAUAAACAGUUAGUUGGACUCAAAUAAUUUUUUUUUUAUUUUUUUGUUUAAUAAAAAGAUUAGAAGAUAAUUAUCCACCGAAAAAAGAAAAAACAGCAAAAAAAACAAAAGAAGAAAUUACAUAAAAGAGAUGAAAAAAAAAAAGCUUUCUAAAAUGCCAAAGACUUCCAAGAAAACAUCCUAAUAAUUGAGAGAUAGUGUGCCUAUGAUUGCAAGCAGCAGAUGCAGGAUAAGACCAAUCUCUUGGUCAGAGCUUGGACAUUUGUGCUACUUGUUCUUCCUCCUCUUCAAUCCAGUUUUGGCACUACCCUGGAAUUAAUUUGGUUGUGUAGGCAUGAAAACCAACAUUUCUGGGCUAUAAAGAUGAGCUCCUUUCCCCUUUUUCUUCUUUAAUCUGGUCCAACGAAACCUCAUCUCCACUGCACCAACCAUUGUUGCUAAAGCAAGUGUUCUCUUUCCUUCAGCGGCGGGCACCAUCUUUCCACGCAUGAAAUGCCUGGCAAAGACGGCGACGACGAUGCCUGUCAGCGACACCACUUGAGAGCCAGGUGUUGCUCCAUCCAAAGGCGUUAAAGUGGAUUCCAACUCCUCCCUCAACCAUGGAUUGAAGUGCUCCAGUGGUGACUGUCGUGUCCUUCCCUUUCAUGGCCCAGGAACCAGGGUUCUCCCAGCUCCAAAGGAAGGCUUCUGCAAUGUGUCAAGCGUCAGCCUCUCCUGCGGGGUUACCUGAGAUUAAAGGUGGAGCAGCUCUUGUUGACUGGAUCAACAAUGGCUGUUCUAAUCCUAGAAUAAGUGACUUGAGUUGCACAUCCUCUUGGUAUGCAGCCAUAGGUUCAACUCCUAAGCCAUGAUGUUGUAGUAUGUUUUGGAUCUUUGGAAAUUUGCAGUGUGAUUUGGUGUCUUAGGGGAAUGAUACAUUUCUCAGUUCAUGACAUAUAUAGUUAUGAUAUGUUGCAGUAAAAUGUGUAUGCUGCUAUCACAGUGAGGAGGACACGGAGUUCGAUUGUUCAUGUAA